rnacentral:snoRNA from 2 species
AUUGGGCUUAGUUAGGAGGCAUUAAAUAAUCUGAUCUUUUCAAUACUUUUCUGUAUUGGUUUGAUCUUAAUUGACUUGAGGUCUUUUGAGGAGGAGCUCUGCUUUCUUGCUGCUUCUCCCAAGCAGCCUCAGACAUUA